rnacentral:lncRNA from 1 species
AUCAUACGACAAAAACUCUUCUCUGGGAAUUUUCAAAGAAGUUUUUCUUUCCAACCAUACAAAUCCAGGUGAAUCAAUUUAUAUAUAGGUUUACAUUUCUAAAAAAUCAUAUCGAUAAGUUUAUCUUCUAAACCAUUUCUUUUUCUUCUUUUUCUCAUUGUGUGUUUAUUGGUUUUCAUACUUAAGAAAUUCUUGCAGUGAAGAAGGACAAAGAUACUUCAAAGCAAGAGUUUUUUUUUGAGGAAGAAGAUUUGAAGUUUUUUUAGAGGAAGAACUGAAAUUUCUCAGAAGAAAGAACAAUUAACAAAGGAAGAAGCAUGGAGUAAAGGAAGAUUGAUUAUUCAUGUGUUUAGACGUGAGAAACCAAAACCCAAUUGUAAUAUUUUUUUUUAAUAAAGAUUUGAUUAUUCAUGUGAUAUAUUUGAUUAGAUUUUUAGUAGAUAUAUUCCAACAAGAUUUUGAGAGAAAAU